CCUGGUACAAAGAGGACCAAACAGUGCUUCAAGGGCAACGAGGAAGUUUUCAUUUCACCUCCAUCAGCUCUGAGGACAGAGGGAUCUACUACUGCAAGUCUGAGAAUCAAUAUGGACAGAUCAACUCUUCAUUUCUAUUCAUUGACGUCCAGUAUGCUCCAAAGCUUCCCUCUGUGUCAGUGAGUCCCUCUGGUGAAAUAGUUGAGGGCAGUUCAGUGACUCUGACCUGUGGCAGUGAUGCUAAACCAGCAGCUACUUAUACCUGGUACAAGGAGAACCAAACAGUGCUUCAGGGGCAACGGGGAAGUUUUCAUUUCACCUCCAUCAGCUCUGAGGACAGAGGGAUCUACUACUGCAAGUCUGAGAAUCAAUAUGGGCAGAUCAACUCUUCAUUUCUAUUCAUUGAUGUCCAGUAUGAUCCAAAGCUUCCCUCUGUGUCAAUGAUUCCC